rnacentral:lncRNA from 1 species
GCGGAAUUCUCCACGAGUUUUCGGCAGCCUCGGUUUUCCCACCAGCUCCAAAUCAUGCAAGACACAGGAUGCAGGCAGAGCCCCCGGAGCCAUGACCAGCCCUUCCGGCAGCUCCGAAGCCACUGGCAAGCCCCGAGGCAGGGAUGGCCGGCCCAGGAGGGAGGAGAACGACGUCCCUUCCGAAGAGAAGAGGCUGCGGCUGUGGCUGGAGGAGGGAAGAGCACAGCCCGAGGACUGCGAGGACGGGGAGGACGCGCCCCGGCCGGGCAGGGAGGAGACCGGCACCCAAACAGGUGGCGACGGCAGAGGAUGAUGUUUUGUUCUGGGGUGCAUCACAAGAGACAAGGUUCUUGGCUGGGCAUGGUGGCUCAAGCCAAUAAUCCCAGCACUUUGAGAGGCCGAAGGGGGAGGAUCGCUUGAGCCCAGGAGUUUAAGACCAGCCAGGGCAACAUGGUGAAGCCUCAUNNNNNNNNNNNNNNNNNNNNAAGCUCCAUGUUAAAAUGCUUUCUGGAGGCUAAAAGGAUGAUAUGUUGAUAAUGAAAUAUUUAAAAGGCAGACACCCUACUGAAUUUUUGGUCCACAAAGGGAAAUGGGAAUCGCAUGACCUGAAGGAUGAUGGAGGAACUGAACAGAAACCAUCCUUGUUUCCUGAAUCUGAAUAUGGCACCCUCUUUUCACGGUGCCUGUAUCUGCUCAGUCCGGCGGCC